UAUCUAUUAUAGUAUUAUAGUAUAUAAGUAUAUAUUACUUAUUGUUAGGGUACAUGAAAUAAAUGUACCAUGUUUUCGGAGUUACAUUAGCUUAAACAUCCAACCCAACCCACAACAAAACCUUUGUUUCGCUUUUAUUUUCAAAUAUUCGUUUCAAAAUCCUAAAUUUUGUUUUACCACUGUUUAUAGAUGAAAUAAAUCCUAGCUAACCAUUAAGGAGAUAUUAUAAUGGUAUUAAACAUUUUCAACUUCAUUUAGUUAUAAUUAGAUUUUUGGCCAGAUAUUCAUAUUCCUAACCAAAUGGGGUUGUAAGCUGUUCUUGAGGAUUAGAGUGUUCCGUAUGUGAAAUUUGCUGACCCAAAUCGUAUUGGUUAUGGAAUUAUGAAUGAUUUAAGUUUAUGGCUGGGAUUUAUGGAUAACUUCACACCAGGGUUUGGCACUACUUUGAAUUUGACAUUUAGUCAAUCUUGACAUUUAUGACAUUUGUCAAUACUAGCAACUUAAUAUUCAUAUAGAUUUAUUUUUAUCAUAAAACAUUUUUUCAAUCACUUUUUCGGAAUCUUUUUGGAACGUUUAAUAUGUUAGUUUUUAAUUUAAUAGGUUCCAGGUCUUGAAGGAAUUCAUCAUCGCACAAAUUUUUUAGUUGGAAGUAUAAAAUCUCAAUGGAAUAAAAUCAAAUCGUGGAUUUUAGUAGAUACGGAAACGUUUCCGGAAAAAAAUCAUCGAUUCACUGCCGUUUACAGUCGUGAUAGAGAAUAUUUAUUUGAUGUUGAUUCUCCGUGUUUUUUUACACCCGCCGUUCAUUCUCGAGUUAUCCAAUUUAUCCUCGAUCGCAAAAGAUUUACGAAUAAAGAAGAUGAUGAUUUUGCUUUUGGAAUUGAACGAUUAUUAACUGAUAAGAUUUAUACGGCUGCUUAUCCACUUCAUGAUGGUGAUUUAAAUGAUCGUGGUACAAUGAGACAUCUUUUAUACGAAGAGUGGACAUCUCUUAGAAAAUGGUACAAAUAUCAACCUUUAGAUUAUGUGAAAGAAUAUUUUGGUGUUAAAAUAGCUCUCUAUUUUGCUUGGUUGGGAUUUUACACUCAUAUGUUGUUGCCAGCUUCAAUUGUGGGCUUAGCUUGUUUUAUUUAUUCCUGGUUAACUCUUUAUAGUCACCAACCAAGGUUUGUUAUUAUUUUGUA